rnacentral:rRNA from 1 species
CCUACGGGAGGCAGCAGUAGGGAAUCUUCCGCAAUGGACGAAAGUCUGACGGAGCAACGCCGCGUGAGUGAAGAAGGUUUUCGGAUCGUAAAACUCUGUUGUGAGGGAAGAACAAGUAUCAACUAACUAUUGGUACCUUGACGGUACCUCACCAGAAAGCCACGGCUAACUACGUGCCAGCAGCCGCGGUAAU